rnacentral:rRNA from 1 species
GUGCCAGCAGCCGCGGUGAUACGUAGGGUGCGAGCGUUGUCCGGAUUUAUUGGGCGUAAAGGGCUCGUAGGUGGUUGAUCGCGUCGGAAGUGAAAUCUUGGGGCUUAACCCUGAGCGUGCUUUCGAUACGGGUUGACUUGAGGAAGGUAGGGGAGAAUGGAAUUCCUGGUGGAGCGGUGGAAUGCGCAGAUAUCAGGAGGAACACCAGUGGCGAAGGCGGUUCUCUGGACCUUUCCUGACGCUGAGGAGCGAAAGCGUGGGGAGCGAACAGGCUUAGAUACCCUGGUAGUCC